rnacentral:rRNA from 1 species
UACGUAGGGGGCAAGCGUUGUCCGGAAUUAUUGGGCGUAAAGCGCGUGUAGGCGGCCAGAAAAGUCCGCUGUGAAAACUCGAGGCUCAACUUCGAGCUGUCGGUGGAAACUUUCUGGCUAGAGUCCGGAAGAGGAGAAUGGAAUUCCUGGUGUAGCGGUGAAAUGCGCAGAUAUCAGGAAGAACACCCGUGGCGAAGGCGGUUCUCUGGGACGGUACUGACGCUGAGGAGCGAAAGCGUGGGGAGCGAACAGG